rnacentral:rRNA from 1 species
GGGGGGGUGCUUAACACAUGCAAGUCGAACGAAGAGGCCCAGCUUGCUGGGUACUCGAGUGGCGAACGGGUGAGUAACACGUGGGUGAUCUGCCCUGCACUCUGGGAUAAGCCUGGGAAACUGGGUCUAAUACCGGAUAUGACCAACUGUCGCAUGGUGGUUGGUGGAAAGCUUUUGCGGUGUGGGAUGGGCCCGCGGCCUAUCAGCUUGUUGGUGGGGUAAUGGCCUACCAAGGCGACGACGGGUAGCCGACCUGAGAGGGUGAUCGGCCACACUGGGACUGAGACACGGCCCAGACUCCUACGGGAGGCAGCAGUGGGGAAUAUUGCACAAUGGGCGCAAGCCUGAUGCAGCGACGCCGCGUGAGGGAUGACGGCCUUCGGGUUGUAAACCUCUUUCACCAGGGACGAAGCGUGAGUGACGGUACCUGGAGAAGAAGCACCGGCCAACUACGUGCCAGCAGCCGCGGUAAUACGUAGGGUGCGAGCGUUGUCCGGAAUUACUGGGCGUAAAGAGCUCGUAGGCGGUUUGCCGCGUCGUCUGUGAAAUUCUGCAACUCAAUUGCAGGCGUGCAGGCGAUACGGGCAGACUUGAGUACUACAGGGAGACAUGGAAUUCCUGGUGUAGCGGUGAAAUGCGCAAAUAUCAGGAGGAACACCGGUGGCGAAGGCGGGUCUCUGGGUAGUAACU